GAGCUGCUCGGAUGGGGAACAGUGGGAACCACUGCUAAUACCCAAUAUGCCGAAAGGUGAAAAUUAUUUUGCCUGAAGAGGAGCUCGCGUCUGAUUAGCUAGUUGGUGGGGUAAAAGCUUACCAAGGCAACGAUCAGUAGCUGGUCUGAGAGGAUGAGCAGCCACACUGGGACUGAGACACGGCCCAGACUCCUACGGGAGGCAGCAGUGGGGAAUUUUCCGCAAUGGGCGAAAGCCUGACGGAGCAAUACCGCGUGAGGGAGGAAGGCCUUUGGGUUGUAAACCUCUUUUCUCAGGGAAGAAGUUCUGACGGUACCUGAGGAAUAAGCAUCGGCUAACUCCGUGCCAGCAGCCGCGGUAAUACGGAGGAUGCAAGCGUUAUCCGGAAUUAUUGGGCGUAAAGCGUCCGCAGGUGGUUUUUCAAGUCUGCUGUCAAAGACCGAAGCUCAACUUCGGAAAGGCAGUGGAAACUGGAAAACUAGAGUUCGGUAGGGGUAGCGGGAAUUCCCAGUGUAGCGGUGAAAUGCGUAGAUAUUGGGAAGAACAUCGGUGGCGAAGGCGCGCUACUGGACCGAAACUGACACUCAGGGACGAAAGCUAGGGGAGCGAAAGGGAUUAGAUACCCCCUGUAGUCA
rnacentral:rRNA from 1 species